rnacentral:misc_RNA from 1 species
AACGCACCUUGCGCUCCUUGGUAUUCCGAGGAGCAUGCCUGUUUGAGUGUCAUGGAAUUAUCAAUCCUCUUUUACUUUAUUGUAAAAGAUGGACUUGGAUUUGGAGGUUUUUUGCUGGCUGCAUUUAUUUUGUGGUCGGCUCCUCUUGAAUGCAUUAGCUCGAGUCUUUGACGGGAUCAGCUUAUCGGUGUGAUAAAUGUUACAUCGUUGUUGGUUUUCGUGAAUUGAGCUUCUAAUCGUCCUUUGCGGGGGACAAAUUUACAUUUGACAUCUGACCUCAAAUCAGGUAGGACUACCCGCUGAACUUAA